CCCUUAGAUGUUCUGGGCCGCACACGCGCUACACUGAAGGAGGCAGCGUGUACUCCUGGAUCGAAAGAUUUGGGUAACCCGCGAAUCUCCUUCGUGCUAGGGAUUGAGGUUUGCAAUUAUCCUUCAUGAACGAGGAAUUCCCAGUAAGUGCAAGUCAUAAGCUUGCGCUGACUACGUCCCUGCCCUUUGUACACACCGCCCGUCGCUACUACCGAUUGAAUGAUUUAGUGAGGACUUCGGACUGGGACCGAUGCGGCUUUCGGGCUGCGGCGGUAUUCUGGAAAGAUGUCCAAACUGUAUCAUUUAGAGGAAGUAAAANUCGUANCA
rnacentral:rRNA from 1 species